rnacentral:ribozyme from 1 species
AGCUCAGAAGAAUGGAAGAAAAUAAUAUGUGAAGAUUGUGGCUAAAAGAAGAUAGGAAGAUAAAGGAUGGAAAAGAAAAAUUUGCCAGCAGCUUCUUUGUAUUUCACAUUUCCUUCCAAAGGUUAAUUUUUGCUCCCUCGCUCUUGUCUGGUCAUCUGGUGCAUAAUUUUUUUA